rnacentral:rRNA from 1 species
AGCGAACGCUGGCGGCAGGCCUAAUACAUGCAAGUCGAACGGAUCCUUCGGGAUUAGUGGCGGACGGGUGAGUAACACGUGGGAACGUGCCCUUUGGUUCGGAACAACUCAGGGAAACUUGAGCUAAUACCGGAUAAGCCCUUCGGGGAAGGAUUAUCGCCAUUGGAGCGGCCCGCGUCUGAUUAGCUAGUUGGUGGGGUAAAGGCCUACCAAGGCGACGAUCAGUAGCUGGUCUGAGAGGAUGAUCAGCCACACUGGGACUGAGACACGGCCCAGACUCCUACGGGAGGCAGCAGUAGGGAAUCUUGCGCAAUGGGCGAAAGCCUGACGCAGCCAUGCCGCGUGAAUGAUGAAGGUCUUAGGAUUGUAAAAUUCUUUCAGCGGGGACGAUAAUGACGGUA